AGUAGUUUGACUCUGGACUCGAGACGAACGCUGGCGGCGUGCUUAACACAUGCAAGUCGAACGGUGAAGCGGGUGCUUGCACUCGUGGAUCAGUGGCGAACGGGUGAGUAACACGUGAGUAACCUGCCCAUCACUCUGGGAUAAGCGCUGGAAACGGCGUCUAAUACUGGAUACGACCAACCCUUGCAUGGGGUGUUGGUGGAAAGAUUUAUCGGUGGUGGAUGGACUCGCGUCCUAUCAGCUUGUUGGUGGGGUAAUGGCCUACCAAGGCGACGACGGGUAGCCGGCCUGAGAGGGCGACCGGCCACACUGGGACUGAGACACGGCCCAGACUCCUACGGGAGGCAGCAGUGGGGAAUAUUGCACAAUGGGCGAAAGCCUGAUGCAGCGACGCCGCGUGAGGGAUGACGGCCUUCGGGUUGUAAACCUCUUUCAGCAGGGAAGAAGCUUUUGUGACGGUACCUGCAGAAGAAGCACCGGCUAACUACGUG
rnacentral:rRNA from 1 species